rnacentral:lncRNA from 1 species
UGUUUCGAACUUACAUAAGCAGAGUUGCUGCUUCAACAAGACUCCUUGUGUUUCUUUUGGGCCCUUGACACUCGCCAUCCCGCUCAGCCAUGGAGAGACCCCGGUGGGACCGGCGCCUCUCUCCUCUUGUCUGGACCUGCCACCAAGGAACGAUAAAACUACUUGCUGGAGUCCAGAUCCAACAUGAUCUGAGGAGGAAAUGCGGAGUUGGCAAGAGGAAGACACACAGAUAAGCCCCUGACCUGCUGGAGCUGGACUCCUGCAGCUGUGACUCAUGGUACUGAAAGUCACUGGAGUCGUGGGUGGGGAUGGAACACGGAGCUGGGAAAGGGUGGAAAAUCAGCUCCGGAGAGAACCAAGAGUUAAUGACAAUGGUUGAGCACAUGGCCCUCAUAAGAAACAAGAGUCUCCAGUGGAAGGAGAGAAAACGGCGCUGCCCACCCUCCGUCUCCCAAGGGCUUACUAACUCCCCCGGGCUAUUCUCGGAGUGCUUUUGACUUCCUAAUGGCUUAUGCCUCGCGCGUUAACCUCUGAUUGCAUGGAUAUACUUUUUGUCCUCACAGUCUUACUGCUCAAUGUUAGUUCUUUAAGCGAAUCGUAUGACUUGUUACUUGUCCAUUGGCUUGAUGGAGUGGCCAGGCUCGGAGACAUCCCUUCCUGGACCCUACUCCCAAGUAUCUGUAGGCUUGUGUAGACUGUGAUAAAAGUAAAGGUGUGUGACUUGUGACCUUAGUUCUAAUUACAUUGCUUUGCCUGCCUGCUCUGGGAGGAGCCAGAUGGCAUGUAAUGAGGACACGCAAGAGCCCCAGGUAGGUUCCUCGGAUAGCUCAGUUGAUAAAGCAAUAUCCAGAAAAGUCACAUGACUGGAGGUUUUUCCUCCAAGCUAACCUUCUAAUUCCUUGAGGUAAGAUGAUAGCCUCCAUUUAAGGCAAUAAGAAGUGAUUCAUUCCACCAAAAAUAUGAAAAGACAUUAUUUUGCAAUAUUCCUUAUAUUGCAAGAAUGUCUUCAAGAAUAUAGCUAACUUUUAAAACUAGUGUUCAUUCUGGAAAAUUAGGAGCCAUAUGGACUUUGUUUAAUCUGUAGCCAAUUCCUUUGUAAGAAUUGGACCAUCCUUCCUAUAAAUUACCAGUGUUGAUUUUUGACCUCCACCAUUUUUCCAGUUCUGACUCAUCUGCCAUUAAGGAAAGACUGAAAGCUCAGAAAUGUAUUAGCAACUGUGAUGGUUUGUAUAUGCUAGGCCCAGGGGGUGGCACUAUAAGGAGGUAUGGCUUUGUUAGAGUAGGUGUGGCCUUGUUGGAGUAGGUGGGGGCUUUAUGACCCCUGUCCUAGCUCCUUGGAAGUCAGUCUUCUCCUGUUUGUCUUCAGGUGAAGAUGUAGAACUCUCAGCUUCUCCUGCACCAUGCCUACCUGGAUGCUGCCAUGCUCCUGAAUGCUGUCCUAAUAAGAAUUGCCUUGGUCAUGGUGUCUGUUCACAGGAGUAAAACCCUAAGACAACAAUGAAGACAUAGAAGACAAGAGGGGAUCCAUGUCAGGCAGACUGUGGACUAAAUAGCUUAUAAAACAAUAAAACAUAAUUCAUUCAUAAUUGCUUUCAGAUUUGUGCUGAAAAUGUAACUCCUUUUACCAAUAGUUUUCAUUUCUCUUAGUUAAUAAAUAUGUAAAUUUCUUAACAUAUAUU